AGAAUCAACGCUGGCGGCGUGCCUAACACAUGCAAGUCGAACGAGAAAGUGGAGCAAUCCAUGAGUAAAGUGGCGACCGGGUGAGUAACACGUGACUAACCUACCUUCGAGUGGGGGAUAACCUCGGGAAACCGAGGCUAAUACCGCAUAACAUCGUGAGAUCAAAGCAGUAAUGCGCUGGAAGAGGGGGUCGCGGCUGAUUAGCUAGUUGGCGGGUAAUGGCCCACCAAGGCGAAGAUCGGUAGCCGGCCUGAG
rnacentral:rRNA from 1 species